rnacentral:rRNA from 1 species
CCUGCCCACUGAAAUUUUUGAAUGGCCGCAGUAAUUUGACUGUGCAAAGGUAGCAUAAUCAUUAGUUUUUUAAUUAAAAGCUUGUAUGAAUGGUUGGACGAGGUAAAUUCUGUCUUUAUUUAAAUAAUAUUAGAAUUUAAUUUUUAAGUUAAAAAGCUUAAAUAAAUAUAAAAGACGAGAAGACCCUAUAGAUCUUUAUAUUAUUAUUUUAUAAUUUUAAUAAAGAAUUUUUAAUUUUUUAUAUUUUGUAAUAUUUUAUUGGGGUAAUAAAAAGAUUUAAUAAAUUCUUUUUUAUAUUUUACAUUAAUUUAUGAAUAUAUGAUCCAAAAUUUUUGAUUAUAAGAUUAAGUUACCUUAGGGAUAACAGCGUAAUUUUUUUAGAGAGUUCAUAUCGAUAAAAGAGUUUGCGACCUCGAUGUUGGAUUAAAAAUUGUUUUAGGCGCAGAAGUUUAAAAAUUUGGUCUGUUCGACCAUUAAAUUUUUACAUGAUCUGAGUUCAGACCGGUGUAAGCCAGGUCGGUUUCUAUCUUUAUAAUUUUAUAAUAUUUUAGUACGAAAGGACCAAAUAUUUAAUAUAUUAAUAUUUUUAUUUUUGAAUAUUAUU